GAUGAACGCUAGCGAUAGGCUUAACACAUGCAAGUCGAGGGGCAGCAUGGUCUUAGCUUGCUAAGACUGAUGGCGACCGGCGCACGGGUGCGUAACGCGUAUGCAACUUGCCUCACAGAGGGGGAUAACCCGUCGAAAGACGGACUAAUACCGCGUACACUUGGGAUAGGGCAUCCUGACCCAAGGAAAUGAAAUUCGCUGUGAGAUAGGCAUGCGUCCCAUUGGCUAGUUGGUGAGGUAACGGCUCACCAAGGCGACGAUGGGUAGGGGAACUGAGAGGUUGAACCCCCACACUGGUACUGAGACACGGACCAGACUCCUACGGGAGGCAGCAGUGAGGAAUAUUGGUCAAUGGGCGAGAGCCUGAACCAGCCAAGUCGCGUGAAGGAUGACUGUCUUAUGGAUUGUAAACUUCUUUUAUACGGGAAUAACAAGAGCCACGUGUGGCUCCCUGCAUGUACCGUAUGAAUAAGCAUCGGCUAACUCCGUG
rnacentral:rRNA from 1 species